rnacentral:rRNA from 1 species
UACGAAGGGGGCUAGCGUUGCUCGGAAUCACUGGGCGUAAAGCGCACGUAGGCGGAUCGUUAAGUCAGGGGUGAAAUCCUGGAGCUCAACUCCAGAACUGCCUUUGAUACUGGCGACCUUGAGUUCGGGAGAGGUGAGUGGAACUGCGAGUGUAGAGGUGAAAUUCGUAGAUAUUCGCAAGAACACCAGUGGCGAAGGCGGCUCACUGGCCCGAUACUGACGCUGAGGCACGAAAGCGUGGGGGAGCAAACAGGG